rnacentral:lncRNA from 1 species
AUAAUAUUUUGCCUCUGAUAUUUUGCCACUGUUCGUAAUAAUUAACGGCCCUCUCUGAUAGGCGCCCCUACCCCGUUUGGACAACGAAAGUCUCUGGUGCUGAUCAGGCCGAUUUUUUGCUGUACCACACUUAAAAUACUCUCGGACGUCGGAAAUUGUGACUCGACAAUAUUUCUUGGCGCCAUUUGAGUUGUGUAUUAAUAGCAUUGGAGUUACGUAACUGGCGCCGCAGUGUAAAUAAUACCCGAGUGAUUUGGAGUAAAUUGUGACACAACACUUGGCACAAUAAAUUUGUGGAAAAUCAUUGGUAUAUCUCUCAAAAUGUCGAGCAAACACUUACAAACUGGAGAUCCAAAACCUGCUUUCGAUAAGACGAAGAAAUUUCGUAUCUAUAGCAUGAAAUUUUGCCCCUUCGCACAG